CUCCGCCCUAGUGACACCUCUGGUUAUAUCAGCAGUUUACCUCCGCCCCGGUGAUCUGUGCCUGUGACAGAUCAGCAACACAGUGAUGGUGCCCCUGGUACAUGCUCUGUUCCUCCUCUACCUCUAUACUCCAGCUACAAGUGGAGAGAUUGUAAUGACUCAGACUCCAGACUCCAUCUCGGCAUUUCCAGGAGAUACAGUCACCAUCUCAUGUACAUCCAGUUCCAGCACUUAUUAUAGUGAUAUCUCCAAAUAUGAAGUGAACUGGUAUCAGAUAAAAGAAGGAAAACCAAAACUUCUCCUAUAUUAUGCCACCACUCGCCAGUCGGGAAUCCCGGAGAGGUUCAGUGGCACCGGGUCAGGCAACGAUUUCACUCUCACAAUCACAGGAAUGACAGAAGAAGAUGCAGCUGAUUAUUAUUGUCAAAAUGAUUAUGGCGUCCACCUCACACAGUGA